UUGGCGUUCUGGCUGAUGUUGAUGAAGCCGCCCGCCCCCGCCAGGCGCGGGCCGAACUUGCUCACGUUGAGGUUGCCGUGCUGGUCGGCCUGCGCCAGGCC
rnacentral:tRNA from 1 species